CUCCUACGGGAGCCGGGCUCCGCCCACAACUCCAACUUCGAGAGGGAUUCUCCGUUCGGACUCCCACGGGAGCCGAACUUCGCCUCGACUUCAGCGGAGAAAAACUCCAAGCGAAAAAGGAAGGCAAUGGAUUGCAACAGUGAUGAUUGGAAAACAAACAGCGUCCGAGGUAUAAAAACCCUGUCACAGCAAGGAUUGGGACUCCCGAUGGGAGUCCCAGCUUUCAAGGAAGCUUUCGGCG
rnacentral:lncRNA from 1 species